GGGUCAGUAGGUUGGUCGUGCCACCGGUACGUACUGGCCUCACUGAUUCCUCCUUCCUGAAGAACCGUAAUGCCAUUAAUUUGGUGUUGCGGGGAAACAGGACUGUUACUUUGAAAAAAUUAGAGUGUUUAAAGCAAGCUAACGCUUGAAUACAUUAGCAUGGAAUAAUGAAAUAGGACGAUCGAUCCUAUUUUGUUUGUUUCUAGGAUUGACGUA
rnacentral:rRNA from 1 species